UUAUUUUUUAGCAAAAUAUUUGAUCAAGUUCUCUUCAGGUUUGUUAAAUAUAUUUUCUGUUAUUUCUGAUUAAACCUACACAUCACUACCUAUAUAAUAAGACAUCUAUAUAAAGUUUUCGGAAAUAAAUAUGGUUUGAUAUUUAUCGUUAUGCUUCAGUGUUAAAAAUUAGAAUAUUCAAAAAAAAUUCUUUAUAUUUUUCAAUAUACUUUAAAAUUACUAAUAUUUUUAAAGUAAAUAUGUUCUACUCUCUACAAAAUAACUUAUAGAAUAAAUUUUAAAUGAUUAUAAUAAAUCUACCCACUGCAUCGCGCGGGUCACUACACUAGUUGAAAAUAAAAUUAUCUGUUACUUUUUGUGGCAAUAUUACCUUCGCAUUUAUAUCAUAUUUUCUAUCUACGUGUUUCUUAAAUAUUUCCUUCUCACACGUAAUAUCCGCACNAUCUGUUACUUUUUGUGGCAAUAUUACCUUCGCAUUUAUAUCAUAUUUUCUAUCUACGUGUUUCUUAAAUAUUUCCUUCUCACACGUAAUAUCCGCACCCAUUAAUUCUUUCGCAACAUAAUAUCCGUGAAUUUCUCAAAUAUCUCAUUAAUCCACCUACUAUUCAACCAAUCAUUUCAAAUAAUUAACUAAGUAAUAAUUUAUUCCCAAAUAAAGAUAAAUAUUUUUCUUAUAACGCGUAAUAUCCGCACCCGCCAAUUCUUUUGCAACGUAAUAUCCGUGAAUUUCUCAAAUACUCAUUAAUCCACCUACCAUUUGAAUUUAAUAAUUAUAGGUGACUUUGAAAUAAAAUCUCCUUCAUUCAUUAUAGAUGAUUUUUAAUAAUAUUGUAAAAGAUACUAUUUCCUUAAAAAUUUUAAUUUUAUUUUUUCUAAAAUAGUCAUAUUCCCUAAAGUAGUAAUAUCCGCACAACAUAAUUAUAGGUGACUUUGAAAUAAAAUUUUCUUCAUUAUAGAUGAUUUUUAAUAAUAUUGUAAAAGAUACUAUUUCCUUAAAAAAUUUAAUUUUAUUUUUCCUAAAAUAGUCAUAUUCCCUAAAGUAGUAAUAUCCGCACAAUAUCCGUGAAUUUCUCAAAUAUCUCAUUAAUCCACCUACCAUUUGAAUUUAAUAAUUAUAGGUGACUUUGAAAUAAAAUCUCCUUCAUUCAUUAUAGAUGAUUUUUAAUAAUAUUGUAAAAGAUACUAUUUCCUUAAAAAAUUUAAUUUUAUUUUUUCUAAAAUAGUCAUAUUCCCUAAAGUAGUAAUAUCCGCACAACAUAAUUAUAGGUGACUUUGAAAUAUUCUCUAAAAUAGAAAAUUUAUAUUUGAGCUUGACACGUAGAUUUUCUAUAUAGUAAAAGAUAUUAUUUUCUUAAAAAAUCUAUUUUUGUUUCUAAAAUAAAAAAUCUAUAUUUGAGCUUGACACGUGGCAAACAUAUAAAGUACCACGUAUCAGCUUUUCACAUAGGGUUCAUUAAGGGUUCUACUUUAGUAUAUAGUAAUAUAUAGUAAUAGAUUCCAGCUUAAUUCUAUAUAUAUAUAUAUAUAAUUGAGCUCCUAUGUUUUUAAAAGUACCAAGUCAUUGGUACUUGUAAGUUUUUGGCCCUUAGAUUAAGGGAUGNUGUUAUUUCUGAUUAAACCUACACAUCACUACCUAUAUAAUAAGACAUCUAUAUAAAGUUUUCGGAAAUAAAUGUGGUUUGAUAUUUAUCGUUAUGCUUCAGUGUUAAAAAUUAGAAUAUUCAAAAAAAAUUCUUCAUAUUUUUCAAUAUACUUUAAAAUUACUAAUAUUUUUAAAGUAAAUGUGUUCUACUCUCUACAAAAUAACUUAUAGAAUAAAUUUUAAAUGAUUAUAAUAAAUCUACCAGCUGCAUCGCGCAGGUCACUACACUAGUUACUCUUUAUAAAUCCUUAAUGUUUGAAUCUGAUGUGUCAUAACCUCCUAAUUUUAAAAUUUUUUUAAUUUAGAAUGAGCCAUUUUAUUCUCUCUCAACAUACGUCUCUUCAUCUCCCCCAUUUAAUUUUUAUUUAGAAUAAGCCAUUUUACUCAUUCUCUCUCAACAUACGUCUCUUCAUCUCCCCAAUUCAAUUUUUAUUUAGAAUGAGCCAUUUUACUCUCUCUCUCUCCAAACAUACGUCUUCUCAUCUCCCCCAUUUUAUUCUCUCUCUCUCAACAUACGUCUCUUCUCUCAUUUAAUUUUUAUUUAGAAUGAGCUAUUUUACUCUCUCUCUUCAUCGUUGGUAGAUGUACCAAGUGAGAUACACAAAAAAAUAUUUAAUAUUUUAUUAUUAUUAAUUACUAUUACAGUUUCUACCCGCUGCAAAGCGCGGGACUCUUCACUAGUUGUAUAAUGAAUCCGAAACGCAUAGGAUUUAAUUACGAAUUAUGCUCUAAUUAAAUCACCGAAUCCCGCUCUAAUUAAAUAUUAAACAAUUGAUUUCCACUGAAUCAUAUUAGUCUAAGCAAUAUUUUAAUUUAAUUUUUACAUAAUUGCAAAUUCAAUUGAUGAUUUUACUUUG
rnacentral:lncRNA from 1 species